rnacentral:tRNA from 1 species
GGAGGCCAUGGCUUAGUGGCAAAGCACCUGCUUGGCAUGCAGAAGAUCUCAGGUUCAGUUCCCAGAAUCUCCA